AGAGUUUGAUCAUGGCUCAGAACGAACGCUGGCGGCAGGCUUAACACAUGCAAGUCGAACGCCCCGCAAGGGGAGUGGCAGACGGGUGAGUAACGCGUGGGAAUCUACCUAGUUCUACGGAACAACUGAGGGAAACUUCAGCUAAUACCGUAUACGCCCUACGGGGGAAAGAUUUAUCGGAAUUAGAUGAGCCCGCGUAAGAUUAGCUAGUUGGUGGGGUAAUGGCCUACCAAGGCGACGAUCUUUAGCUGGUCUGAGAGGAUGAUCAGCCACACUGGGACUGAGACACGGCCCAGACUCCUACGGGAGGCAGCAGUGGGGAAUCUUGCGCAAUGGGCGAGAGCCUGACGCAGCAACGCCGCGUGGAGGAUGAAGGUCUUUGGAUUGUAAACUCCUGUCAGCGGGGAAAAAGGGACUGUGGUUAAUACCCAUGGAACUUGAUUGUACCCGCAGAGGAAGCCCCGGCUAACUCUGUGCCAGCAGCGGCGGUAAUAC
rnacentral:rRNA from 1 species